UACAGAGGGGGCAAGCGUUAUUCGGAAUUAUUGGGCGUAAAGGGCGCGUAGGCGGCCAUUCAAGUGACGGGUGAAAGCCCUCGGCUUAACCGAGGAACUGCCUGUCAGACUGGAUGGCUUGAGACCGGGAGAGGUGAGUGGAAUUCCCAGUGUAGCGGUGAAAUGCGUAGAUAUCGGGAGGAACACCGGUGGCGAAGGCGCUCUGCUAGGCCGCAACUGACACUGAGGGACGAAAGCUAGGGGAGCGAAUGGG
rnacentral:rRNA from 1 species